rnacentral:lncRNA from 1 species
UUUAUUUCAUUUCGAUUUUUCCAUCUUCCUCUAUCCCUAUCCUCUAGGUACAGCGUUUGCAUAAAUAGAGAACCUUUUCCUCUGUAUGAAUCUAUAUUAUUCCAUUCCAAUUUAUUCCCGAAACUUCCCAAGAAAAUCCUGAAUUGGAUCCAAAAUUGAUGGGUUAAUGUGAGCUUAUCCAUGCGGUUAGGCACUCUUCAAAUAGGAAUCCAUUUUCUAACUGGCUUUCGUGCUUUGGUGAGUUGUCCGAGAUCUUUUCG